CAGCGAGCCUCUGGAAAGUGCCCCGCCGUUAUCGGUCGUGGCCGCCGACGGUGUAACUCGGUCCAUCCCUUUGCGGAUGACGCCGGGGAAGCUCUCAGGCUUCCGUGACAGAGGGGGCACC
rnacentral:ncRNA from 2 species